rnacentral:rRNA from 1 species
CCUCAGUAACGGCGAGUGAAGCGGUAACAGCUCAAAUUUGAAAUCUGGCUCUUUUAGGGUCCGAGUUGUAAUUUGUAGAAGAUGCUUUGGGUGUGGCUCCGGUCUAAGUUCCUUGGAACAGGACGUCAUAGAGGGUGAGAAUCCCGUAUGUGACUGGCAGCUUUCGCCCGUGUAAAGCUCUUUCGACGAGUCGAGUUGUUUGGGAAUGCAGCUCAAAAUGGGUGGUAAAUUUCAUCUAAAGCUAAAUAUUGGCCAGAGACCGAUAGCGCACAAGUAGAGUGAUCGAAAGAUGAAAAGCACUUUGGAAAGAGAGUUAAACAGUACGUGAAAUUGUUGAAAGGGAAGCGCUUGCAACCAGACUCGCAGGCCGUCGAUCAUCCUGGGUUUUCCCUGGUGCACUCGGCGGUUUUCGGGCCAGCAUCAGUUUGGGUGGUGGGAUAAAGGCCUUGGGAAUGUAGCUUCUUUCGGGGAGUGUUAUAGCCCUCGGUGCAAUGCCGCCUACCUGGACUGAGGACCGCGCUUCGGCUAGGAUGC